rnacentral:rRNA from 1 species
CACACGGCGGGUGCUAACGUCCGUCGUGAAGAGGGAAACAACCCAGACCGCCAGCUAAGGUCCCAAAGUCAUGGUUAAGUGGGAAACGAUGUGGGAAGGCCCAGACAGCCAGGAUGUUGGCUUAGAAGCAGCCAUCAUUUAAAGAAAGCGUAAUAGCUCACUGGUCGAGUCGGCCUGCGCGGAAGAUGUAACGGGGCUAAACCAUGCACCGAAGCUGCGGCAGCGACGCUUAUGCGUUGUUGGGUAGGGGAGCGUUCUGUAAGCCUGUGAAGGUGU